AGCUGACAGAUCAACGCAUCCAUCGCCAUCCAAAUCCAAAUCCAAACCGAUAAUUUUUAAGAUGGUCUCUAAUUACUUUUAGACAAAUUACAGUAAUUUCAAUUUCAAUGGAAAUUCCUAAAUAUAUUUCGAGGGUUAUACUUUGAAAAACUCUGUAUAGAUUAAUAAACUGGGUUAAAUAUUUGAUAAUUGUCAUUUUCAAAAAGUUAACGAAUUGGUGUGUCUCUGCGCUGUUCAUGAACUCUUCUUCGCCACUCAUUUUUUUCCGUGCAAGAUGUGGCACCAAGGCCGCCUGUUAAGGGGGUAAAGAUGAAACAUAAAUAUACCAAAGAAUAUAAUACUCAAUACAUACUAUCGUUUUAAUUGCCCCUGUAUUUUUUUUAUCUGAAUGGCUUCUAGAGACUAGAGACUGCCCGCACAUGUGAAGACUUUAUAUAGGUUCAUACAUACUUCUGACGUUCCACGUACCAAUAUUUAUUGCAUCUUUAAAACAGGGAUUUCGCCGGGUUACGACCUGAGAGGCCCUGUUGUCAUGAGAAUUACCUCUCCUGCCGGAUCUUGUUUUCCGAUGUCCAUGAUCAGUACCAGAAUUUAUUGUACGUUGUACAGCCAUGAUGAUUGUACUAGAGAAAAAUUACUAGCUCACACUAUUACCUGCUCAAACCAACUUAAUCUUUCAUUAAAAAAGAAGAAUUAUUGGAAAUAGUGGGAAAGUAUACUAAACCCUAAAAUUA
rnacentral:lncRNA from 1 species